UAGUGAAAUAUAGUUUCUUUAAUAAUAACAGAGAUUUGGAUAGUUAUUAAUAAGAAGAGAUGGAAUUAAGUAGGGGCCAAGUAGAGAAAAGAGCCCCACAAUUCUAUCUUUUGCUCAUUGCUUAACACAAGCACUCAAUCUUCUCCUCUGUAAACUGCCAAGCCAAGCUACUUUACUACUUGCGCACUUCCACUCAAGCUUGCUUCCGCGACUACCUCGACUCGCGUUACAAUUCUUCCUUUCGGGGGAUUCUUUCCAUUCCGUAAUUCCUCCUUUGACCUCGACUCUGUAAACAAAUACAGAUUCCACUGGACCAGACCUAUACUUGAAGACAAAGGAAAAGGAUUCUAUCUCUGACCUAGCACCCGAACUCUCCUAUGGCUCACAAACACAUAGCCAGCAGCGGACCACUCCAGUUCUCUAUCUUUCUACCUUCCUUCUUUGACUUACUGGGUCGGUUCUUUGAUUCACUGGUUGAAGUCUUAGUCCUGUAGUUGAUAGUACCCAGGUUGAUUCUUGUUGGCACUGAUUUGAUCCUUAGACUGCUUAGGGGCAUUCUGUAACUCGCUUGGUUCGUUCUUAAACUGCCUAGAUCAAUUCUGUAACUACCUCCUCUAAGUCUCACUUCCCUUGCUUUCGGUCUUAGAUGCAGUGGUUUUAGUCUGAAGUAGCUAAGUAUUAGGCUUGGAAUGCGUGGGUGUAGUCUGAGUCUGCCUGGUCGAAGUCUAGUUAUCAGUGAGUUAAGCCUUGGAUGCAGUCAUCCUAUAGAAAGAGAAUCUAUCAUUUAGUAAGGGCCAAGUAGGGAUCAGAGCCAAACAAUUCUCUCUUUUAUUCUUAGCUUAACACAAGCACCCGAAACGAACUAACUCUAUCUGAAGGAAUUUACAAUAAGGGCCCGACCUAUCCUCGAAAGUCACUUAUUGGCUUCCCGCUUCCUCAGCACUAACAGAGUUCAAAGAGCCAGAGAGGGAUGAGAGACGGUAUUAAAUGCAGAGCAAAGCAAAGGGUAGACUAAAAGAAUAAGGAAAGGAGAAAGAUCAGAGGAGAUAUUCGAAAUUAGCUAUCAAAAUCUCUGUUAUUAUUAAAGAAACCAGAUAAGAUUACGCAAGCAGGUCUGCUCCUGUUCUUGUUGAAGUAGAAAGUCCGAUCACCCUGCUGGCUCCGUAGUUGCUUGCUUGUUUAUACUAAGCUUGGCCCUGUCUACCAACUCAGUACACACACUGUAUAAGAAAACCCUAUCAAAUGCAUUCUUCUCUUAUUAAUAAGAAACAUCAUUCUUCUCGGGAUGGAUGGCGCCUAGACUAGAGAUUGCCCCUGUUCUUGAGUAGUGACUUGACCGGUAGGUGCGAGGAAAGGAUACAAAAGUAGAUAUACUAGAGAAGGUACUUGCUUUGAGGCGAGGCGAGGAAGCCUAUUAAGUACGGAAGUAAAGAAUAGAACGGCGUAGUCAAAGUAUCGGUCGACCAGAGAAUCAGUAGUUACAAGAUCUGAAGCCGGGUAUGCCUGCUUGGCCCCGAGUUUAAUCUGUUAUGGAAUCAGUUCUAUUAUCAAAGAUCUAAUUGAUGAAACUACUCGUAUAUUAGUUGGGGCUUAAAUCCGUCUUUCUCGUCUCUCACUCUCAUGUCAAAGGGAUAGGUAGCUUUAAGAUAACAAAAGGGAUAGGUCGGCAAAAGAACCCUAAAGAAGGGCAGAAUCCAUUCCAGUUUCCAAGAGAAGUAUCCGGGUGUCAGGAAAGCAGUCCGCAGUGAGAGUGGAGUCUACUUAUUUACUGAAAUCUGCUAGAGCGUACCCAUAACUAGUAUAAGCUUGGUUGCUCUUAACAUUCAAUUCGAAAGGAAGUGUUUAGGGCCCAGAAAUCCUCAUUUUGUUGAUCAAACCCUGGGUGAAGAUACCCCGCUUCAAAGCCCGGAAACUGGCUAACACAGGACUUGGUGUUAACUCCAUUAUGAACUUACAUUUAAAGACAUAGGAGUGAAAGGCUUAACCGAGUAGUAUAAAUCUGACCCUUCUCUUGUUCUUGUGGAAUCUCAGUUCGACAUAAUUUCAUUGAAAGCAGGAAUUGGGUGCAAAAGUAGAAUUUAGUGCAGCUAAAGAAGAGAAUAGCAGACGAAACCACUUUACAAUAUAGUAGGGGAGCUGUAGGGCGAGGAAAUGAUGUUUCUGCUCGAAAGUAAGCAAGAGAGGGAUCAGUUCUCAAGUCAGCAUUAAGUUCCAAUUUGUAAAGGGAGUUACAGAGGAAUUAGUUAGUUACAGACUCAAGACCAGGGAGUUACAGAGGAAUUAGUUAGUUACAGACUCAAGACCGGGCUAGUGAAAUAGAGUUUCCUACUUACUUUAUAGGGGCAGUGAAACUCUUUCUUCUCGGCGACUUACUUAUUGGUCAUAACCUUAACUAAGUAACAAUGUCGGCUAAAGGUAUGCUAUGUUGUUGGAUCCGUAGAGCAAGAGGCGAGGCAGAAGCACUAACAGAGUGGAGGUCAGCAAGGGAAGGGCUAAAUCUGAAUCAUGAGCUAGGUAUUCUAGUUGCCAGCAGCAGUAGUUUGAUUCUUUCAUUCAGUAAAGGGAUACUAAAGUGAAUCCAGUGACUAUGACAAAUCUGCCAAUGGCACCAACAGAUACUGAAUUGAACUAAGUUAGUGCUUAAGAAGCCAGUUACUUGCAGGGUGAAGUUCAUUGUUGCCAGCUGCUUUGCUUGUUGAAAUAAGUAUGAGUUUACAGAGGAGUGGGGAGUAGACUUCAGAAUCCAAUCCAAUAGUCCCGAUGAAUCAAUUUAGAAAUAUGAAAUAAAUAAGAAAAGUAGACGAACACAGUUUCACGCCUGCCGCGACACAUUAGCAGUGUCUUGUCCAAUAUCAAUUAUAUCUGUUAUUAUAUAUGAAACCAGAUGAAACUAAUAAGUAAGCAAAAGGGAAGCAGUGAAGUCAGAAGGAAGCUAAGCUAUAAGUAAAGAAGUAAUGACUUGGC
rnacentral:lncRNA from 1 species